ACCAAAACUUCUCAGUUUCGUUUUGUUUUGACCGUUUCUUUAGAGUUUCAUUCCUGUUUUAAACCUCAUCAUUCUGAAGCUCAUCAGCACAGAUCUCAGAGCUGCGUCGAUGUUUCCUCUUUUCUGCUCAUCACAAGAUUCAGAUGGAGAAGAGAAAGAAAAUCACACAUCCAGAAAACUGCUGGAGCCUCAGAAAUCACAGAGCAGCAGAAAACAAGAAGACAGAGAGAGAAAUGGAGAGACAAACCAGUGGAUCACAAGAGAAAAGAGGAGAGAGACUUGAGAGAUGUGAGAGUAUGGAGAGAAUAAUGCCAGACUUGUCAUGUGAUCCAGAUGAUCCUGUAAAGGUUGAUUCUGAUGUCAAAACUGAGGAGAGAUUCUCUCAUCAAAACCUUCAUCAUGAUCUCAAGAACACACAACAUCACUGAUGAAGAGCUGAACAUCAUCAUCCUCAUCAACAUCAUCACCAUCAUCAUCAUCAUCAUCAUCAUCAUCAUCAUCUGUCUCCUGGAUUCUGGAAGCUUUUACACACUAAGACUGAGGGUCUGUUCACACGACACUGCUGUUCAUUUACAUGACAACGGUAAUUUGUGUGCCUAAAAAUGCAGAGUUUGGUUCCAAAACACGACAAACGCCAGCCUUCUUUUUCUGCAGAACGCGAUAUAUCCGCUCAACCAAUCACAGCGCUCCAUUUCACCCACUGUAAACACUGAAGGCUUUUUCAAAAAGCCGUUUUUAAUGUUACUCGGCAAAUGUGUUUAUUUGUGCGGUGGCGCCAGAUACUCUUUAAUCGGUAAUGACAAAUAAUUUAUAAUACUAACAAGAUGACCCGUUGAAUUCAUUUUGGGA